rnacentral:rRNA from 1 species
UGGGGAAUAUUGCACAAUGGAGGAAACUCUGAUGCAGCGACGCCGCGUGAGUGAAGAAGGUCUUCGGAUCGUAAAACUCUGUCCUUGGUGACGAAAAAAAUGACGGUAGCCAAGGAGGAAGCCCCGGCUAACUACGUGCCAGCAGCCGCGGUAAUACGGAGGGUGCAAGCGUUAAUCGGAAUCACUGGGCGUAAAGCGCGCGUAGGCCGUCUUUUAAGUCGGACGUGAAAGCCCUCGGCUCAACCGGGGAACUGCGUUCGAUACUGGGAGACUUGAGUCCUGGAGAGGGAGGCGCAAUUCCGGGUGUAGGAGUGAAAUCCGUAGAUAUCCGGAGGAACACCGGUGGCGAAGGCGGCCACCUGGACAGGUACUGACGCUGAGGCGCGAAAGCGUGGGGAGCAAACA